UGAGACCUGACGGGGCCGUGGGGAAGUGCAAGUGCCGCAGCGUCUCAGGCCCAGGGCUGCCCGUUGGCUGCCCAGCUUCGGCCAGUUCAACAAGUACAUAGAGAAGCUCUUCAACAGCAGCCCGGAACCGGGCUCACAGAGCAGCCGCAUGGCCUCUGCAAAGACGUGUUCCCCAGCAUGAAGUCCAAGAACGCUCAGAACUCUAAUGACGCGAACAACCCUAAGAAUACUCCACCAGCAAACGCUCCGAAACCCCUAUCAGCGAACGCCACGAAACUCCCCCGACAGAACACCACGAACCCGCCACCCCGGAACGCCGCGAAACCCCGACCAGCAGCCUCCUCCCGGGGCCCCAGGUAGGAGAGCCUGGGCUCGGCUGGCACCAGUCAGGGGCCUCGGAACUGGGGGCAGGUUGGGCGGGAGCGAAAGGAAGCCCUGAGGGCUGGGGGGAAUCCAGGGCCCCGGGGACUUCCUUCUCCAGGCUGGGCUUUGACUUCCAGAAGCCCAACUCAAGUCUCCCUGCCCACCGACCCUCUUUAUAUUCUGAGAGGGGCCCAACUCCUGCCCAGCCCGGCCCCGGUGAGAACAAUAAAGAGAAACGGAA